rnacentral:rRNA from 1 species
AGGAAAUAGAUACCCUGGUAGUCCACGCCCUAAACGAUGAUUACUCGACAUACGCGAUACACAGUGUGUGUCUGAGCGAAAGCAUUAAGUAAUCCACCUGGGAAGUACGACCGCAAGGUUGAAACUCAAAGGAAUUGACGGGGGUCGGCACAAGCGGUGGAGCAUGUGGUUUAAUUUACGAUGAUACGCGAGGAACCGUUACCUGGGCUAGUAAUGCUGCCUGACGAAUCCUGAAAGGGGUUUUUAAGUUAGCAAUAUACAGGUAGUAAGGUGCUGCAUGGCUGUCGUCAGCUCGUGCCGUGAGGUGUUGGG